UUCAGAUUCCAGUAUGUGAAGUAUAAGAGUAUACAGUAACUUUAUAGAGGAGCACUGCUCAGCCCUUGUAUUAUAUACACGGGUGUUUAUUUGAGAUUACUAUAAUAAACCAAUAGAACCUUA